CGGACGGGUGAGUAACGCGUGGAAAACCUGCCGUAUACUGGGGGAUAACACUUAGAAAUAGGUGCUAAUACCGCAUAAGCGCACAGCUUCGCAUGAAGCGGUGUGAAAAACUCUGGUGGUAUACGAUGGUUCCGCGUCUGAUUAGCUAGUUGGUGGGGUAAUGGCCUACCAAGGCAACGAUCAGUAGCCGGCCUGAGAGGGNGAACGGCCACAUUGGGACUGAGACACGGCCCAAACUCCUACGGAAGGCAGCAG
rnacentral:rRNA from 1 species